rnacentral:rRNA from 1 species
GCUUCUUUUCUUAAGGACAAGCUGUGAUGGGGAGGGAAAUAAUAGUACCGAAGUUCCUGAUGUCACACUGCCGAGAAAAGCUUCUAGUGAGAAAACAGCGGCCCGUACCGCAAACCGACACAGGUAGUCGAGGAGAGAAUCCUAAGGUGAGCGAGAGAACUCUCGUUAAGGAACUCGGCAAAAUGACCCCGUAACUUCGGGAGAAGGGGUGCUGAUCAUACGAUCAGCCGCAGUGAAUAGGCCCAAGCGACUGUUUAUCAAAAACACAGGUCUCUGCAAAAUCGUAAGAUGAAGUAUAGGGGCUGACGCCUGCCCGGUGCUGGAAGGUUAAGAGGAGUGCUUAGCGCAAGCGAAGGUACGAAUUGAAGCCCCAGUAAACGGCGGCCGUAACUAUAACGGUCCUAAGGUAGCGAAAUUCCUUGUCGGGUAAGUUCCGACCCGCACGAAAGGCGUAACGAUUUGGGCACUGUCUCAACGAGAGACUCGGUGAAAUUUUAGUACCUGUGAAGAUGCAGGUUACCCGCGACAGGACGGAAAGACCCCAUGGAGCUUUACUGUAGUUUGAUAUUGAGUGUCUGUACCGCAUGUACAGGAUAGGUAGGAGCCGUAGAAAUCGGAACGCUAGUUUCGAUGGAGGCGCUGGUGGGAUACUACCCCUGCGUUAUG